rnacentral:rRNA from 1 species
AACGAACGCUGGCGGCAGGCUUAACACAUGCAAGUCGAGCGCGUAGCAAUACGAGCGGCAGACGGGUGAGUAACGCGUGGGAAUCUACCGUACCCUACGGAAUAGCUCUGGGAAACUGGAGGUAAUACCGUAUACGCCCUAACGGGGAAAGAUUUAUCGGGGUGUGAUGAGCCCGCGUUGGAUUAGCUAGUUGGUGGGGUAAAGGCCUACCAAGGCGACGAUCCAUAGCUGGUCUGAGAGGAUGAUCAACCACAUUGGGACUGAGACACGGCCCAAACUCCUACGGGAGGCAGCAGUGGGGAAUAUUGGACAAUGGGCGCAAGCCUGAUCCAGCCAUGCCGCGUGAGUGAUGAAGGUCUUAGGAUUGUAAAGCUCUUUCACCGAUGAAGAUAAUGACGGUAGUCGGAGAAGAAGCCCCGGCUAACUUCGUGCCAGCCGCCGCCGUAAGAC